rnacentral:tRNA from 1 species
GGGCUGUACGCACCGGCUGUGCGGCGCCGCCUGGCAGGCAGCGUGUGCAGGGUUCGACCCCCUGACGGUCCAC